AGGUGGAUCCCGAUAUUGUUCUUUAUGCCUCUGUUUCCAUCAGAAAGCACAGCUUCUCAAGGAGGGAAGUGAACAGCGGGAAUCAGACGGUGUCCUGGCCUGCAGCCAGCAUGUGGCUGAUCACCAAGACUGGGAUGAUCUUGAACAGAGCGAUAACUCAGGGAUGCCUGGCUAUUGGCCAUCCAGUCAGAGUUGAGACCACCCAGGGAACAUCACUAGAAGGAUAUAAAUUACUGCUACGGAAAAGACAUGAAGAAGAUGAGUCUCAGAAAUGGAUAUUUGGAACAGAUGGCUGUAUUUAUUCUAAGG